ACUGCUGUCCUGCACCCCACAAAGGAUUUCUUCACCAAAAAGAAGAAAUCCUUUGUGUUUGGAGAAUUCCUCCACCACCCCUAAGUUCUGCUUUCCUCUGCCCUGUUUCAAGAAUGGAGGAGGUGCUGGGAGCAGCAGUGUGUCUCCCUUAAGUGUGUGAUGGGAUGCAAGGCACAGCUGGAGGAGGAAGAAAAACCUUUUCCAAACCCCCUCCAAGCUUUGUGUGUUUGCACAGAGCUGGAUGUUGGAAUCAGAGAGCAGCCACCACAAGGAAAGGUUGGGAAAGAAAGGAUGUGGACUUUGUGGCUUAGCCACGGAUGUCAGGCACCUCACAGCAUCCAUCUGUGCUGCAGAGAAAGAAGCCCAGUGCUGAGGAGGAAACACCAGCUGCCACCACAGCAGGGAAGGGACCCCAUGACUGAACAUUUUAAGCAUAACUUGUUCCCCUCUUGCCCUUUCAACUCUUGAGAGGCAUCUGUCGGUGAGUGGUGGAAGGCUUAACUGUUACUCAGGCACCUUUUCCUACCUCUUUAUCCCCUUCCACUGCAGUAUUUCAUUCUCUCUUAAGCACCUUCUGCAAUGUUUCAGUUUUGUUUGAGCUCCAUAGUGUUCCUGACCCAGUUGUGUCUCAGCUAUGUGAGGGGACAGAUUCCAUGCAUGUGAAGGUUCUUGCCUCAGGGGGAAAAAGGAGCAUUUAUUCCAGAGGCUCCAAGCCUCUUACCAGCCAGUUUGAUAGCACCAAGUCCCCAAAUUCUGUGUGCCCCAAUCCCUAGCCUGCCCUGGUGGGUGCAGUGUGUGGUUUAGAGCACAGCAACCUGUUCCUGGCAGGGCAAUGGACUGAGAUGCUCUUCAAAGUCCCCUUCCACUCCAAACCAUUCUGGGAAUCUCUGUUGGAAUUCUCAGUUUAGUAAGAAAAAUUACUUCAUUUUGCAUGAUAGGUGAAAUUGAGAAGGGAUGUGCAGUGGAGGGCUGUAGGGAGGGGUAGGAUCAAGCUCUUAGUGCUGGCUUGAUUUUGACAGGAUAAAAGGUCACCUCCCUUUGGGCAGCCACUUUCCGCCUGGUCUGCUUUCCCCCCUCACCAACAGCUGUAGGACAGAAGGUCUGGAUGAGUUCCCUGGGGACUUCACCUCCCUCUGGCAGGCUGGCACUGUUCCCAGGGCAGUCUGGGAGUGCAGCACCAGCUGUCCCAUGUCUGGCUGUAGCUGGCUAUCCCUCUGGCUGGAACAGCAGCUCCCAGGUUGUUCUGGAUGUGCUGAUGGCAGAGCUGCUGUGUCACACUGGGGUGAGGGAUCAGUGGCUCUCUCAGUGUGAACGCAGCACGUGUCUAUCAACACCGGAGCCACAUUGCUGCCUUUUCUCCCUCUUUUUAGGUUCAACUUUGUCAGGAAACAGCAAAUUUCAUCCACAUAUAAGAAGGGAAUCUCCUAGAAUCAUGGAAUGAAUCACUGAGGUUGGGAAGGACUGCUGAGACCAGCAAGUCCAGCCAAGUUCCCCAGCACUGCCAGGGCCACCACUACCCCUGUUCCCAAGUGCCACAUCCACGUGCCUUUUAAAUCUCU